UAAGAUAUUUCUUCUCUCUUCCUCUCUAGCUCACGUCUUCUCUACCUCUCCUCACCCAAUCCACCAAAAAUCAUUAAUUCUUCAUGAAAUCAUCACGAAAAUUGUUUAAGAGUGUCCCUUGUAGUGAUUAGACCAAGAAGUUCAAGGUUUGAAGUGGAAUCUCAAGUGGGAAGCUUAUUCCAGUAAGAGUUUAUUUCAAACAAGGUUAAUUAUAGAUGCCCUUAUGGUUGAGCAUGAAGUUGGUUGAGGUUUGAAAUGCAAAAUUAAGACGAGCCUAUGCCAUUUUAAAGGAUUAAAGGUGAGUUCCUUUAGCUUAGAACCCACCUUUGGGAAUGGAUUAUGAUUAUGUUAGAUUAAUGAGAUAAUAUGAAUAAUUAGGCCAUUUUUAUGAUUUCUUGUCUUUUGUGCAAGCAUGACUACUAUGCCAUAUGAAUGAUACAUUUGAAACAUAAUAGAUAUGAGAUAGUAGAAUGAUUAUUUCUGAACUAGGUACAAUUAUUAGUUAUUCUAAAAUCUCUUUUAUGUUAAUAAGUAUGUUUAUGUUAGCAUAAUUGUUGGAGGGAAAUUUUAUCAA